rnacentral:rRNA from 1 species
UACGGAGGGUGCAAGCGUUAUCCGGAUUCACUGGGCUUAAAGGGUGCGUAGGCGGUUUGAUAAGUCAGUGGUGAAAGCUCGCAGCUUAACUGUGAAACUGCCAUUGAAACUGCCAGACUUGAGUACGAUUGAUGUGGGCGGAAUACAUCAUGUAGCGGUGAAAUGCUUAGAUAUGGUGUAGAACACCGAUUGCGAAGGCAGCUCACAAAAUCGCAACUGACGCUGAGGCACGAAAGCGUGGGUAGCAAACAGG